GUCCACGCCGUAAACGAUGAGUGCUAAGUGUUAGAGGGUUUCCGCCCUUUAGUGCUGCAGCAAACGCAUUAAGCACUCCGCCUGGGGAGUACGGUCGCAAGACUGAAACUCAAAGGAAUUGACGGGGGCCCGCACAAGCGGUGGAGCAUGUGGUUUAAUUCGAAGCAACGCGAAGAACCUUACCAGGUCUUGACAUCCUCUGAUAACCCUAGAGAUAGGGCGUUCCCCUUCGGGGGACAGAGUGACAGGUGGUGCAUGGUUGUCGU
rnacentral:rRNA from 1 species